AAAAUGACUCUCGGCAACGGAUAUCUCGGCUCUCGCAUCGAUGAAGAACGUAGCGAAAUGCGAUACUUGGUGUGAAUUGCAGAAUCCCGUGAACCAUCGAGUUUUUGAACGCAAGUUGCGCCCCAAGCCUGGGUGUCACAC
rnacentral:rRNA from 1 species